CAGAUGACCCACGUAUUACGAAACUAUAUUGGAACGUUUCUCACGAACGAUGCGACUACGAGAGGAUCCGCUGCUUGAGGGCAUACGCUACUGGGGCCGUUUGCGCUCGGACCCUUUAUUAUCAAUACUACAGCUUCCCUAAUUAUUGUGCGCUAGAGUAUCAUAACUGUAUCGAGAGAUACGAAGGUAUUUGGACGAUCGCUUAUAUGGGUAUUUGUACAGAACUCGAUAUACAUAAAGAUAUUUUCGUUGGUA